rnacentral:rRNA from 1 species
CCUACGGGAGGCAGCAGUGGGGAAUAUUGCACAAUGGGGGAAACCCUGAUGCAGCGAAGUCGCGUGCGUGAAGAAGUAUUUCGGUAUGUAAAGCUCUAUCAGCAGGGAGGAAAAUGACGGUACCUGACUAAGAAUCCCCGGCUAACUACGUGACAGCAGCCGCGGUAAUACGUAGGGGGCCAGCGUUAUACGGAUUUACUGGGUGUAAAGGGAGCGUAGACGGGAGAGCAAGUCUGAAGUGAAAGCCCGCGGCCCAACUGUGGGACUGCUGUGGAAACUGCCCGGCUAGAGUGCUGGAGAGGUAAGCGGAAUUCGUAGUGUAGCGGUGAAAUGCGUAGAUAUUAGGAGGAACACCAGUGGCGAAGGCGGCUUACUGGACAGUAACUGACGUUGAGGCUCGAAAGCGUGGGGAUCGAACAGGAUUAGAUACCCGUGUAGUC